UACGUAGGGGGCAAGCGUUGUCCGGAAUCAUUGGGCGUAAAGAGCGUGUAGGCGGCCAGAAAAGUCCGCUGUGAAAACUCGAGGCUCAACUUCGAGCUGUCGGUGGAAACUUUCUGGCUAGAGUCCGGAAGAGGAGAAUGGAAUUCCUGGUGUAGCGGUGAAAUGCGUAGAUAUCUGGAGGAAUACCGGUGGCGAAGGCGGCAUCCUGGACCGGCAUUGACGCUGAGGAGCGAAAGCUAGGGGAGCAAACGGG
rnacentral:rRNA from 1 species